rnacentral:rRNA from 1 species
AUGUUGGGUUCAAAAGAGCUAACAGAAUUCCUAUCAUGUAUUGGUAAGGAUACAAGCACGCCUCUUGACCAUUUCAAAGGUACCGAAGUUGUCAAGGAGUAUGUUCGAAAGAAGAAUCUACAUGAUAAGAAGAAGAAAUCUGUCAUGUGUGAUCAGAACCUGCAUUCUUUAUUUAACAAAAGGAAAUUUAAGUACAGCAUGAUCUAUAGCCUGCUGGAAACACAUCUUUCUGCAAAUGUGAUUUCAGAGGAUGAAAGCGAUGGAUCUGUGGAUGAUAAUGGUUACACGGUGAAAAAGAAGCCUUGGAAUAAUUUAGAGCCAAAAAUUCCUAAGAGUGUUUCAGGAAUAGACCCAAUAAUUCCUAAGAGUGUUUCAGGAAUAAACAAGAAAUGUCUUGCCGCUCUCAAUCCGAAUAACCUGAAUCUGAUUUAUCUGAGAAGAACCUUAGUUGUAAAACUUCUGACCGAGCUAGACACAUUUGAACAGAAGGUUAUUGGCUGUUUGGUCACAGUGAAGAAUGAUCUCAAUAGUUAUACUUAUCAGAUGACUAAGAAAUAUUACCAGAUUGGACUAGUUACAGGCAUUAAGAAAUCUUCAGAAGAAUACAAGAUUAAGGAUACAUGUACAGAUGUUCUUUUAUGUGCUUCCAGCAUGUGGGAUGAUGCCAAGAUCUCGAUGCUAUCAGAAGAGGACUUUGAGGAGGAUGAGUGCAAUGAUCUUCUUCUGUCGGCCAAGAAAGAGCUCUUCAAAAGGCCUACUGUUGCUGAGUUAGAGGGAAAAGAGGCAAGUAUUCAUGCAGACAUAGUUAUUUGUUGGUUUGAUAAGGAGCUUCGAAAAUUGGACAAGGAGUUGGAAAGAGCGCGCGAGAAGGGGUGGCUCCAGGAAUAUCCUUUCCAGAUUGAUUGUAAAUCUGUAAUGAUCAUGCAGCAGUAA